AAGAACUGACACGAUGAACACUUGUCUUAUCAGAUCUGCAUGUCUGUUGUGGCUAACAGUGGCAAAUCAUGCAAAAACUGUUCUCCAGAGUCCUAAUGACCUUAUAAACAUCCAAACUGAAUCAGCUGUUAUCGUCUGUUCUCACAAUAUACCAAACUACAACCAAAUACUGUGGUACAAACAGAGUCAGGACGUGCCUGGACUCAAGCUCAUGGGAUACCUUUACGGUAGUGAGAAUAUAGAGCCUGAUUUCACAAACAAGAUCAAACUGGAGGGAGAUGCAAGCAAAAAUGGCACUAUGACUAUCAAAAACCUCACGCCACAAGACAGCGCAGUGUAUUUCUGUGCAGCGUAUUACACAGUGAUAUAGUCAAUGAAAGCUUAAUACAAAAAGCUCUCUAUUCUACUCUCUGCCUCACCUGUGAAGAGCUCAGGCUUUGAUUUGCUGCCAAC